rnacentral:rRNA from 1 species
AUUGAACGCUGGCGGCAGGCCUAACACAUGCAAGUCGAACGAGUGGCGGACGGGUGAGUAAUGUCUGGGAAACUGCCUGAUGGCGGGGGAUAACUACUGGAAACGGUAGCUAAUACCGCAUACCAUCGGAUGUGCCCAGAUUGGAUUAGCUAGUUGGUGGGGUAAAGGCUCACCUAGGCCACGAUCCCUAGCUGGUCUGAGAGGAUGACCAGCCACACUGGAACUGAGACACGGUCCAGACUCCUACGGGAGGCAGCAGUGGGGAAUAUUGGACAAUGGGCGCAAGCCUGAUGCAGCCAUGCCGCGUGUAUGAAGAAGGCCUUCGGGUUGUAAAGUACUUUCAGCGGGGAGGCGUUACCCGCAGAAUAAGCACCGGCUAACUCCGUGCCAGCCGCCGCGGUAAUUC